AGAGGAAAGGAGGACCUUAGGCCCAGUGGAGGGAAACACGCAAGAUUCUGUGACCCACUUGCUCACUGAGGAAGACACCUCCUGCUUCUGAGAACGUUCCCGAAGGGGCUGGCUUUCCAGUUACAUUCAGAAGAGACUCCUCUUGGAGGCCUCAGCAGGUGGUAAGCAAAGGGUCCAGAGAGCCCAGAAGAGCUUUAUGACAUUCCAGGCCAGACACAGUCAUCUUGGAGGAAAAGCAGAGUAAAAGUUGGAAAUACAGGAAGCUAUUUCUGAAGAGAAACAAUGGGCCUGAGCUGCAGCCAGCCUCAUGACGACCAGCCCUCCACGCUGGAAGGGGAAUG